rnacentral:lncRNA from 1 species
UUUUCCACGGGCAGGGAACCUAGCACAAGCAACACAAACAGAAGAACAAACACCAGCAGGUAAUCCUUGUCGUAAGCUGGCGGUAUAGACAAAUUGUAAUUCUCAGCAUGGUAAAACCGACGGGCAGGGAACCUACCACAGGCAACAGAAACACCUACCGUGCAUGCCAUGCCACAGCCAAAGUAACUUGAACGAACGAUCAAUGGAGAUAUCAGAACGAAGCAUCACAUAUAUGGGCAGAUCUUGAUAGAAAAAUGUGAAUGGGGAAGACGGAGUUACACAAGAGUCUUACGAGUGCAGGCAUUCGAUCUUGAGGAUCUGCGUCGGCAUUGCCGUGUGCGCCCCAAGGCUCACUGGUGCCGCAACUUACGCCGGCCUCGCCUUCACCACUUUCAUCGAGUCAAAGACCAAACUACAAAUCACCUAAAAAAUGUCCUUCCAUCUCUACCUCCAUGGAGCUAUUGUCUUACGUAAUGCUCAUCAUUCAACCUGCAAAUAAAAGAACAGAGAUAAGCACUCACCGAAGUGGAUGAACAUAGAUGAUGCGACUUGAGACCAAUGGUUCUUGUAGAAAGGACCGUCCGGCGCUUCAGCAACAAUAUCCGAUCAGGAGCAAGCAGAACCGUAGCGAAUCUAUGUGAUGGAUAGAACGCACCUAGGUUGGUCCUGGAGCAGAGGAGGGCGUGGACGAGUUUAUUGUCGUGGCGGGGAGACUCCGCGCCGUCGAUGCCCCUGGAUCGUGUCGUGGUUCCGUCGCCUCACCUCACCUCGGUUGGGUCGCCGCCGCCAUCCUCAUGUAUAGCCUUGACCGGGGGAGAGGAAGAAAGGCCAGUGGAGAGGUCAAAUCUCGAGGGAGAGUGAGGUGCACCUUGCCGCCGAGGCCUACAUGCCUCGCCUGAAUUGAGGACUGUCAGUAAAGUGAACCUUCCCUGUUACUACGUGCCGGAAGUGCCCUGAAGGGUUGAUCUUACAUCCAACGGCUAAGGGAGGAAGAUACCGAUUCGGUGAGGAGGCAAUCAUCGUCCGCAGAUCCUGCAUCCAACGGCCCAGCUUAGCUCCCGCGUCGCUAUUACCUUUCCGACAAGACGCACUACCUUCAGUUGAAUUACUUUAAUUGCUUUAUACGAGUUGUCUUAUAAAUGCCUCUCCUUCCAGUCCAUUUAGGCAUGUAAUAGAUAUGUAGGUAAAACCCUAAGCCGUCUGUGGCGUGCUGUAGCUACUUUCCCCAUUUUAAGAGCAAUACAAUUUCUUUGUGAGCUGAUUUCGAUCUCUGAAUUUGGUUCAAAAGAGCAAUUCUUCUUCCGUCAGGUAGCUAGAUCCUGACAAUUGGUAUCAGAGACCAGUCGAUUUUCGGAUGAAGGUGACGCGGAGAGGAGAAGGAGCAGUGAGAGUCCUCUGCGAGAUCCAAAUCGAGCGGGGGUGUUGGCGGUGGUAGAUCGAAGAUCCAAGGUUCUCGAAUCAAAUCCCACUACCCACCCCUGUUUCUAGCAGCACCAUGACAGGGCAAGCAGCCUCGGUAGUGACAACCGAUCUGCAACUGGCGUAGUUGGAGUUGGAUAUUAAGACUCUGCAGAACAACGAAGAGGAAGAUUGGAAGAAAUUUCAUGAAUUUUCGUGCCAUGGUGAACAAAAUUUUUGUCACGAUGCAAAUCGAUUUUGACAAGAUUGUUUGAUACGAGAAAAAUCUACUUGUGUCCUCCAUGAGAGAAGAGAAGAAGUUUAAUUUCUCUCAUGCGUCGGGAAAAAUAAAUAAAUGAUGCGGGCGUGCCAGUGUACCGAAGUACACAAAGAAAACAAAGAGAUGGGGACUGUAUUUUAUUAAUCUCAAGGAUAACAAAUACAAUUUCCGAUAUGCGCUCCGUGGCCUACUAGCGUGGCCAGCCUCACUAGCGAUGUGCGGUCUCCUGGUUCCCGGGGCCUCGGAAGGCUCCCGGUUAAUUACUCCCGCGUGUUUCUCCGCAAGAAACCUCCGAUUAAGCCGUGUGGUCGUCUUUGUCGUCUUCGCUUCACAUUCUCCAUGCAUGAUGAUGAUGAUGUGUAUAUAUGUGUGUGGUGUGGGUGGCGGCUAAGCCCGUGUCCUCGUUGGUACACGUGUCGCUCAAAACAUGACUUUUUGAUAGCCACAUUCGACCUCGCCAUCGCGCCUCAUCGGUCUUGAUAGUGUUGAUGUUGGUGUUGGAGUAGCAUGGGUCCUGCUUGGUUCGAAUUUCUUGACGACUGGUAGCGGCUGCGUCGGGGUAUGCAAGGGGUUCGCCUUGCGGGAGUAUUGGUUGUGGAGACCGACGUCGGUGUAAAACCAACACACACUCGCAUCGGCAUAGCCUGUGUGGAUGGCAUCUCGUCUCGGCUAGACGCCGAGUUUACGGCAGUCCGCCAAGACAAGGACGCUGCCUCACGGGACCGUGAAUGGGUGACGUCAAGGAGGGGCGAGGUUGAUGCCUCGUCUCAGCUAGACGUCGUAUUCGGUAAUCUGCUAAGACAAGGAUCGCGUCGCCUGACGCCGUGACCCAUACGCCAUGAAGUGUGCACCUUGUCUCGACUAAACGCCGUAUUCAAUGGUCCGUCAAGACAAAGGAAAGACAUCCCAAUGAUGAAGAAAAUUUUAGUCGUGGAAGGGCAUGGUUGAUGCCUCGUCUCAGCUAGACGCCGUAUUCGGUAAUCUGCUAAGACAAGGAUCGCGCCGCCUGACGUCGUGACCCAUACGCCAUGAAGUGUGCACCUUGUCUCGACUGGACGCCGUAUUCGGUGGUCCGUCAAGACAAAGGAAAGACAUCCCAAUGAUGAAGAAAAUUUUAGUCGUGGAAGGGCAUGGUUGAUGCCUCGUCUCGACUGGACGCCGUAUUCGGUGGUCCGUCAAGACAAAGGAAAGACAUCCCAAUGAUGAAGAAAAUUUUAGUCGUGGAAGGGCAUGGUUGAUGCCUCGUCUCGACUGGACGCCGUAUUCGGUGGUCCGUCAAGACAAAGGAAAGACAUCCCAAUGAUGAAGAAAAUUUUAGUCGUGGAAGGGCAUGGUUGAUGCCUCGUCUCAGCUAGACGCCGUAUUCGGUGGUAUGCUAAGCCAAAGAAAAACACAUCCCAAUGUCGACGAAAGCUGUCGUCGUGGAAGGGUGUGGUUGAUGCCUCGUCUCAGCUAGACGUCGUAUUCGGUGGUCUGCUAAGACAAGGAUCACACUGCCUGCCUCCGUGACCUACACACCAUGAAGGGUGCACCUUGUCUUGACUGGACGCCGUAUUCGGUGGUCCGUCAAGACAAAGGAAUUGCAUCCCAAUGCCGAAGAAAGCCAUCGUCGUGGAAGGGGCGUGGUUGAUGCUUGGUCCCAGCUAGACCCCGUAUUUGUUGGUUCGUUAAGACAAGGAUCACACUGCCUACUGCCAUGACCUGUACACCAUGGACAUGUAAGCCACUAUAGUAGAGCACCGGUGAAGGCAUGAAGGAGCGGAGUAGAUUCCUUGUCCCAGCUAGACGCCGUAUUCGGUGGUCUGCUGAGACAAAGAUCACGCCGCCCAUAUGCCUAGGCCACCAUGGUCGAGCACCGGAGCGAGUGGCUGGACUACAUCGGCGUAGUCUUCAGGUUCAAUGAAAUCGUCUCCGACGGCGACGGUGGGAUCACACGAACGAUGUCUUCGAUGACGACUCCGUGUAACGUAUGCAUGCUGGAUGUGAGAGAGACAAAAGAAUUAGCCGAUCGUCUCACCUGUCGGAAACACGAGCUUGGUGUUCAUGACGGCGAGAUCCUUGCCGCCCUUGUAUGGAUGAAUUGAUGGAGGCGAUGCAAUGGCUGGAACGUGGGUAGAUGGAUGUGUGUGUUGAUGGAUCUGUCUCUCUGCUAGAUGGAUGAUGGUGCGUGCGUGGAUGCCAGGAUGGAUCUCUCUGCCUGGACGUGUGUGGUGGAUGGAUAUCGUGAACGAUGGAUGGCUUUGUGAUGGAUCCUCUCCUCUCUGCUACGUAGAUGGGUGAUGGAUGGCUGGUGCGUCGUGGUUGCGGCUGCUACGUGAUUUCUUCGUGCGUGUGCGUGGAUGGAUGGAUGGUUUGGCUUGUGCGGUGAUGUGGUGGAUGGAUGGAUGAAUUGGUGGAGACGCUGCAAAGGGCUGGAGCGUGGGUCGAUGUGUACGUGAUCGUUUCCCUGGC